rnacentral:tRNA from 1 species
UCCCCGGUAGCUCAGUUGGUAGAGCGAGUGACUGUUAAUCACCAGGUCGGCGGUUCGAGCCCGUCCCGGGGAGCCA